AAUAAUGUGCCUGAAAUCUAAGGAAUAUUCUGAUGGAGUAUAAUAUAUAGCUUAAAACUAUCAUUAUUA
rnacentral:tRNA from 1 species